UCUGGAACCCUCCACUUCGCCGGGCACUCCUUACAGCGCUCGGAACACUUUUGGAAAUCAUCGCUGGAAACAGUCAACACCGUGAAUUCGGCAGUUCCGGCAUCCUGGAGUCUGGAUAGUCCUGCUCGCCGGUGACUCAAAACGAACGGUUUGGAAGUACCAAGCACGUUUAUGCGUUGUGAAACGUUGACAGAUAUUCAUGAUGCUGUACUUACGACGAACUCUCAAGUGUGAAGCAUCUUCAACUUCUUCGUGGGACUGGGCCAAUGUAACUGUGGAGAGACACGUGAAUUAAAGAGACGGCACGCUGAAGGCCACAUAAUGUCUUAC